AUGGAGAACUGUCAACAGAGCCUGCUACAACCGGUGUUCUCUCCAACUAUGGAAGAUGCAACGUCUGGGUUCCUGCUCUUCCUCCCACCUGACCCGCCACACGUCACUCUGUUCUACGACAGGAACCACACAGACUGGUAUCAAGAUUCUUUAAGGUAAAAUAAUUAGGGGCAUGGUUAAACGUUCCCUUCAGGACACUGAUUGGGAUCCUACCAGCGUGCAGGAACGUACUGAUCAUCAUUAAGCAGCAGAAGGUCCACGGACGAACAACCAAUGUGUCCUCCAGCAACAAGCAAAUCGUUCUAACAAACCCACUCUACGGCGCGUGAAUGACACGUUAUCGUGUUGGGACUAAAUGGCUGCUGUUACAACUACAUUGUGGGUACGUUGAUCUCACGCAACCUUUGAGGGACCUCGUGAAGAUAUCAGAGAAGAAACAGGGUCUGCCGUUGUGACCUGAGGGGGAGAAAGAAUUGCUAAGAUCUAUGGAGAACUGUCAACAGAGCCUGCUACAACCGGUGUUCUCUCCAACUAUGGAAGAUGCAACGUCUGGGUUCCUGCUCUUCCUCCCACCUGACCCGCCACACGUCACUCUGUUCUAUGACAGGAACCACACAGACUGGUAUCAAGAUUCUUUAAGGUAAAAGAAUUAGGGGCAUGGUUAAACGUUCCCUUCAGGACACUGAUUGGGAUCCUACCAGCGUGCAGAACGUACUGAUCAUCAUUAAGCAGCAGAAGGUCCACGGACGAACAACCAAUGUGUCCUCCAGCAACAAGCAAAUCGUUCUAACAAACCCAAUCUACGGCGCGUGAAUGACACGUUAUCGUGUUGGGACUAAAUGGCUGCUGUUACAACUACAUUGUGGGUACGUUGAUCUCACGCAACCUUUGAGGGACCUCGUGAAGAUAUCAGGUAGGAUAAACUUGAAUAAUAUUUUGAUUUGGAUUCAGGAUACGAGAAAGUGUUUUUUCCUACUUCACCAAAGAUUAGCCUUUGCAGUUGAAUUGACUCUCUUUGAGGGCGUAGUACUGUUCUCUGUCGAUGUUUCUGGAACAAAACUAGUUUUGUUUCCAAAAGAGGGAGUGAGGAUAGUGUUAUGUACUUAUCAGUAAAUGUUAGAUAAAAUAGAAAAACAGUGGGAAACAUAAUGUCGUUGGUUAUAGGAGUAGAAUGUGAGUAGAUUAGGGUAAAAUGCGCUGUUUGUGAGCAAAGUAGCAGAAGAGAGUGUAAAGGGAUUCUUGAGCGUGGCAGCUCACUGCGAGUUCUCGACGAGGAAUCGUAUUUUGCUUGGUUAGAGGACCUGAGAAACCUUGAAUUCCACAUACAGGUUGAGAACAAGACCAGGCAAUACACAUUGUAUGGAUGCGGAGCUUUAACGGAGGGUGACUCUGUGAAACUCCGAUUACAGACGUAUAAAGUUCUGACAUAAAAUAACAGAACUAAGAACAGAGUAGAAAAUCAUAAGUUGUGCGAGAUAACACAACAAGAAAUAAGUCCUGUUAGUUCAAGAAACCUUUUUAUAAGAAACCGUGACCUGCCGUAGAAACAGGAAGACCGGUAUGAGCCGUGAGCUGGACACACACAACCAGCAAGACCGGACAGGGAAUAAAGAUAAAAAAAAAUGAGCUGUGAGCUGGACACACAAUCAGCAAUAACAGACUAAUUUAGCAGAAAACAGUGUGAAUGAUGAGAGUGUGACUGGGCAAGAACGCCAAGCGCGAGCGAUUCCCAUUG